rnacentral:snRNA from 1 species
AUUCUUGCUCAGUGGCAAUUUCAUAGUCUAUGAUGUUCUGCUGAGACAUGAUUAUUGCUGGUUGAAAACUUUAUCCAAUAACCUGCCUGGAUGACUUGAAAUACAGUCAGCUAUGCUGAUCUUAUUUUUAUACAGA